ACGAACGCUGGCGGCGUGCUUAACCCCUGCAAGUCGAACGGAAAGGCCCUGCUUUUGUGGGGUGCUCGAGUGGCGAACGGGUGAGUAACACGUGAGUAACCUGCCCUUGACUUUGGGAUAACUUCAGGAAACUGGGGCUAAUACCGGAUAGGAGCUCCUGCUGCAUGGUGGGGGUUGGAAAGUUUCGGCGGUUGGGGAUGGACUCGCGGCUUAUCAGCUUGUUGGUGGGGUAGUGGCUUACCAAGGCUUUGACGGGUAGCCGGCCUGAGAGGGUGACCGGCCACAGUGGGACUGAGAUACGGCCCAGACUCCUACGGGAGGCAGCAGUGGGGAAUAUUGCACAAUGGGCGGAAGCCUGAUGCAGCAACGCCGCGUGCGGGAUGACGGCCUUCGGGUUGUAAACCGAUUUCGCCUGUGACGAAGCGUGAGUGACGGUAAUGGGUAAAGAAGCACCGGCUAAAUACGUG
rnacentral:rRNA from 1 species